AGCAGCCGCGGUAAUUCCAGCUCCAAUAGCGUAUAUUAAAGUUGUUGCAGUUAAAAAGCUCGUAGUUGAAUUUCGAGAUCGGCUUACUGGUCGUGCUUUUGUACGUACUGGUAUAAUCGGUUUCUCCUUUCUGACGAACUAUAAUGCCAUUAAUUUGGUGUUAUAGGGAAUCAGGACUGUUACUUUGAAAAAAUUAGAGUGUUUAAAGCAGGCUCACGCUUGAAUACAUUAGCAUGGAAUAACGGAAUAGGACGUUUGAUUCUAUUUUGUUGGUUUCUAGGAUCGACGUAAUGAUUAAUAGGGAUAGUUGGGGGCAUUAGUAUUCAAUUGUCAGAGGUGAAAUUCUUGGAUUUAUUGAAGACUAACUACUGCGAAAGCAUUUGCCAAGGAUGUUUUCAUUAAUCAAGAACGAAAGUUAGGGGAUCGAAGACGAUCAGAUACCGUCGUAGUCUUAACCAUAAACUAUGCCGACUAGGGAUCGGAUGAUGUUAAUUUUUAAUGACUCAUUCGGCGCCUUACG
rnacentral:rRNA from 1 species